rnacentral:rRNA from 1 species
AAUGAACGCUGGCGGCGUGCCUAACACAUGCAAGUCGAACGAGAACGGAUUAUAGCUUGCUAUAAUUGUCAGCUAAGUGGCGCACGGGUGAGUAAUGUAUAGGUAAUAUGCCUCUUACUAAGGGAUAACAAAUGGAAACGUUUGCUAAUACCUUAUACUCCUUAUUAACAGAAGUCAAUAAGGGAAAGAUUUAUUGGUAAGAGAUUAGCCUGUAUUGUAUCAGUUAGUUGGUGGGGUAAUGGCUUACCAAGACUAUGACACAUAACUGGUUUGAGAGGAUGAUCAGUCACACUGGAACUGAGACACGGUCCAGACUCCUACGGGAGGCAGCAGUGGGGAAUAUUGCACAAUGGACGAAAGUCUGAUGCAGCAACGCCGCGUGGAGGAUGACACAUUUCGGUGCGUAAACUCCUUUUAUAUGAGAAGAUAAUGACGGUAUUAUAUGAAUAAGCACCGGCUAACUCCGUGCCAGCCGCCGCGGUAAAAC